rnacentral:tRNA from 1 species
GCUUCCGAAGGAUAAUAGUUCAUCCGUUGGUCUUAGGAACCAAAAACUCUUGGUGCAAGUCCAAGCGGAAGCU